AAACAGGUUAAUAUUCCUGUACUUGGUGUUACUGCGAAGGGGGGACGGAGAAGGCUAUGUUGGCCGGGCGACGGUUGUCCCGGUUUAAGCGUGUAGGCUGGUUUUCCAGGCAAAUCCGGAAAAUCAAGGCUGAGGCGUGAUGACGAGGCACUACGGUGCUGAAGCAACAAAUGCCCUGCUUCCAGGAAAAGCCUCUAAGCAUCAGGUAACAUCAAAUCGUACCCCAAACCGACACAGGUGGUCAGGUAGAGAAUACCAAGGCGCUUGAGAGAACUCGGGUGAAGGAACUAGGCAAAAUGGUGCCGUAACUUCGGGAGAAGGCACGCUGAUAUGUAGGUGAAGUCCCUCGCGGAUGGAGCUGAAAUCAGUCGAAGAUACCAGCUGGCUGCAACUGUUUAUUAAAAACACAGCACUGUGCAAACACGAAAGUGGACGUAUACGGUGUGACGCCUGCCCGGUGCCGGAAGGUUAAUUGAUGGGGUUAGCCGCAAGGCGAAGCUCUUGAUCGAAGCCCCGGUAAACGGCGGCCGUAACUAUAACGGUCCUAAGGUAGCGAAAUUCCUUGUCGGGUAAGUUCCGACCUGCACGAAUGGCGUAAUGAUGGCCAGGCUGUCUCCACCCGAGACUCAGUGAAAUUGAACUCGCUGUGAAGAUGCAGUGUACCCGCGGCAAGACGGAAAGACCCCGUGAACCUUUACUAUAGCUUGACACUGAACAUUGAGCCUUGAUGUGUAGGAUAGGUGGGAGGCUUAGAAGUGUGGACGCCAGUCUGCAUGGAGCCGACCUUGAAAUACCACCCUUUAAUGUUUGAUGUUCUAACGUUGACCCGUAAUCCGGGUUGCGGACAGUGUCUGGUGGGUAGUUUGACUGGGGCGGUCUCCUCCUAAAGAGUAACGGAGGAGCACGAAGGUUGGCUAAUCCUGGUCGGACAUCAGGAGGUUAGUGCAAUGGCAUAAGCCAGCUUGACUGCGAGCGUGACGGCGCGAGCAGGUGCGAAAGCAGGUCAUAGUGAUCCGGUGGUUCUGAAUGGAAGGGCCAUCGCUCAACGGAUAAAAGGUACUCCGGGGAUAACAGGCUGAUACCGCCCAAGAGUUCAUAUCGACGGCGGUGUUUGGCACCUCGAUGUCGGCUCAUCACAUCCUGGGGCUGAAGUAGGUCCCAAGGGUAUGGCUGUUCGCCAUUUAAAGUGGUACGCGAGCUGGGUUUAGAACGUCGUGAGACAGUUCGGUCCCUAUCUGCCGUGGGCGCUGGAGAACUGAGGGGGGCUGCUCCUAGUACGAGAGGACCGGAGUGGACGCAUCACUGGUGUUCGGGUUGUCAUGCCAAUGGCACUGCCCGGUAGCUAAAUGCGGAAGAGAUAAGUGCUGAAAGCAUCUAAGCACGAAACUUGCC
rnacentral:rRNA from 1 species